GACGAACCACACGAACGUUAUUCGGAAUUACUGGGCUUAAAGGGUGCGUAGGCUGUGCAGAAAGUUAGGUGUGAAAUCCCCCGGCUCAACCGGGGAAUUGCGCUUAAAACUACUGUGCUAGAGAAAGAUAGAGGUGAGCGGAACUUCGGGUGGAGCGGUGAAAUGCGUUGAUAUCCGAAGGAACACCGGUGGCGAAAGCGACAUCCUGGCAUUAGCCUGACGCUCAUGUGCGAAAGCGUGGGGAGCGAACGGG
rnacentral:rRNA from 1 species